AUUGAACGCUGGCGGCAUGCUUUACUCAUGCAAGUCGAACGGUAACGCGGGGCAACCUGGCGACGAGUGGCGAACGGGUGAGUAAUGCAUCGGAACGUGCCCGGUAGUGGGGGAUAACUGCUCGAAAGAGCAGCUAAUACCGCAUACGACCUGAGGGUGAAAGGGGGGGAUUGCAAGACCUCUCGCUAUUGGAGCGGCCGAUGUCGGAUUAGCUAGUUGGUGGGGUAAGGGCCCACCAAGGCGACGAUCCGUAGCUGGUCUGAGAGGACGACCAGCCACACUGGGACUGAGACACGGCCCAGACUCCUACGGGAGGCAGCAGUGGGGAAUUUUGGACAAUGGACGCAAGUCUGAUCCAGCCAUGCCGCGUGCGGGAAGAAGGCCUUCGGGUUGUAAACCGCUUUUGUCAGAGAAGAAAUCUUCUGGGUUAAUACCUCGGGAGGAUGACGGUAUCUGAAGAAUAAGCACCGGCUAACUACGUGCCAGCCGCCGCGGUAA
rnacentral:rRNA from 1 species